CAAAGGCCCCAAAGGAAGCCACGGCUAACUCUGUGCCAGCAGCCGCGGUAAUACAGAGGUGGCAAGCGUUGUUCGGUAUUAUUGGGCGUAAAGAGCACGUAGGUGGUUCUGUAAGUCAGAUGUGAAAGCCUUCUGUUCAAAGGAAGAACGGCAUCUGAAACUACAGAUCUUGAGUGUAGGAGGGGAGAGUGGAACUUCUGGUGGAGCGGUGAAAUGCGUAGAUAUCAGAAGGAACGUCGGCGGCGAAAGCGACUCUCUGGCCUAUUACUGACACUGAGUGUGCGAAAGUUAGGGGAGCAAACGGGAUUAGAUACCCCGGUAGUCCUAACUGUAAA
rnacentral:rRNA from 1 species